rnacentral:rRNA from 1 species
CUUGACACACAUAAGAGGUCCAGCCUGCCCAGUGACUAAGUUCAACGGCCGCGGUAUCCUAACCGUGCGAAGGUAGCGUAAUCACUUGUUCUUUAAAUGAGGACUAGUAUGAAUGGCACCACGAGGGUUACACUGUCUCCUUUUUUUAAUCAAUGAAACUGAUCUCCCCGUGAAGAAGCGGGGAUAAAUUUAUAAGACGAGAAGACCCUAUGGAGCUUUAAACAAUUAUAGCACUGGCCCACACCUCUUAUUCUUCUGAGAUAUAAUUAUUAUACAGGCCAACAUGACUAUUAGUUUUAGGUUGGGGUGACCGCGGAGCAAAAAUUAACCUCCACGUUGAACGGAGCUACUCCUGAGCUAAAAGCUACAACUUUAAGCACCAAUAAACUGACAUCAAUUGACCCAAUAUAUUGAACAACGAAC